rnacentral:lncRNA from 10 species
CCGGGCGGCCCCGCCGGGCGAGGCGGCGGCGCCGGGCACCGCGGCGGCGCCGGGCACAGCCGGGGGUCGGAGCCGGGGUGCCGGCUUAGUGGGCCGGGGUAGGGCGGGACAGGACACCUGUCCUGCUACUUUUCUGGUAAUCAAAAGGGCAGAGUGCGUCGAUUGAGUUGGAGCCUUAGUUUCCUCACCUGUAAAUGGGCGCGUUGGACAGAUGAUCAUUUGUUCUCCCUGCGCUGGGCACCGUGCGCAGCUCGGUGUAUCGGUGCAGCGGGGCAGACACAGGGAGCCGCCCUUUACAACUCGGGUAACGCAGGCAGUGGUGAGAGGAUGCAAAACUUGCACGGAAGAAUUCUCUCUACUUGGAUAUCCUUAAAGUCUCCACGAUAAAGCGGUGUUUCCAACGUACAGAGGAAGAAGUGACUAAUUAUGACUGGAGGGUGGUGUCAGAGUUUUAUUGAGGCGAAAUCAAAACAGGGUUUUAAGGAAUGAGCAGGAAUUAGCCAGGCAGCCAAGGUGAUGGAAGGCAGCUGUUCCCGAAAGAGGGAAGGGCGUGGCGGAGCCUGGGAGGCCUGAGGUAUCACAGCGAGUGUGGAGAGACAGAGGCAGGGCCGGGCCCUUGCACAGCUGCCAAUGGAGGCCGUAGAGGACGAGAGGAAGGCGGGAGGCCAGUUGGGAAGCGCUCGCUAGUUCUGGGUAGGGGCGCAGCAUUGCCUUCUCCUGCAGCCCUCCCAAAAAUGCACAGGAGGCUGAAAGUGUCACUAACAGCCCCGAAAAAUCCUCCUCCUCUUCCCCUCUCCUUUACUCUCCUUGGGGGUCCAAGAAGCAUUUUCAUUUCCUGCCUGAGUGUGGGAAACUUAUAUGCAUGAGAACGGAGGCCUAUGUGGCACCGUGGGUUCGUUCCGGCCCACCUGCUUCCUUUCUUGAGUAAUCUGUCCAGCCACAGCCCUGCAGAGGGAGCAGCCCAGCCAGAGGAGUUUCCCCUCACCCCAGGGAGGAACUGUCCAACUGUAACUGACAGAGGAGGCAGAAGUGCCUGCCAAGAAUGGAGGGUCUGGUCUGGGGACCAGCUGAAGGCUCAUCGGGCUCAUACUGCUGGCACCAGGGCUGUCGACCAGGGCACCUACUUGGGGGCUUCCCCACGGGGAAGAGAGGAUCCCUGAGAAACAUCAACAGAAAAGCCUGAGGUAGAUGGUGAGUGAUGGAGGGCAGGGAGCCUGACUAUAGCCUGGACGCCAGUGCUUCCCUCAGUGCUGUGUGCAGAGACGCCUGAUGAAGAUUUGAUGACGGAUUGAAAAGCCACUGCGGGACCAGCCUGGGAAACUGAACCCCACGCAGGCCUCUCUCGUAGGCAACCGGCCAGGUAGAGAAAAGCCAGGUGUCUCCACUUAUCACAAGGGCAAUCGUAGCACAGCUCUCAAGAGUAAGUGAAUCUUAAUUUGCUUUCAUUAAAAACAUAAAUAAAUACCCCUGCCAAGCGGCGCUGGUGGGGGUGUUGCGAAACGGGCUCCAGGCCCACAGGGGCUGCAGCUGCAGGUGGCUCGGGUCGCAGGGAGCAGAGUCAGGAGACGAGAGUCACUCGGCCACUCGGCGCCCACAGGCAUCAUCUCAGGUCUCCUUAGCACACUCUGCUCAGUCCCAAAUCUCCUUGAAAGUGUCUUUUGGCGAGGACUGCCUGAUAAAAUACAGGCCGCCCAGUUACACUUGAAUUUCAGAUAAGCGGCAAAUAAUUUCUGUUAGUAUAAAAUAUUUGGGACAUAUUUACACUAAAAGAAAUGAUUGUUUAUCUGAAAUUCAGGUGUAACUGCGUAGCCUGUAGUUUUACUUCCUAAGUCUGGAAACCCAGAGGCUUCACCACCACCACCCCCAUACCUCCCGCCACCCCGACCUACACAAUUAGCCCUAAAAGAGAUCACUGCUGACCCCUCCCCCGCUCCCAGCCAUUCAGGGCUCCCAGACACCAGGCUGAGGGCCGAGGCCAGCCUGUGACAAGUUCUCACCUGUCCAAGGCAAAAGGAGAUAAAAGAAGACAACGCAAAGAGGUUGUUUUGUAAAGCUGAAGGUGUUCAAAGGACUGGUCUUCAUUCUUUUUUUUCUUUCCUUUGUGUGUGUGUGUGUGUGUGUGUGAGAGAGAGAGAGAGAGAGAGAGAGAGAGUGUCCUCAAAAAAUAAAACAAUGCUAUCUAGUAACUGGCCACUGA